CAGUCGCCGCGGUAAAACGUAGGGUGCAAGCGUUAAUCGGAAUUACUGGGCGUAAAGCGUGCGCAGGCGGUUAUAUAAGACAGAUGUGAAAUCCCCGGGCUCAACCUGGGAACUGCAUUUGUGACUGUAUAGCUAGAGUACGGCAGAGGGGGAUGGAAUUCCGCGUGUAGCAGUGAAAUGCGUAGAUAUGCGGAGGAACACCGAUGGCGAAGGCAAUCCCCUGGGCCUGUACUGACGCUCAUGCACGAAAGCGUGGGGAGCAAACAGGAUUAGAUACCCCCGUAGUCCCUGUCUCUUAUAC
rnacentral:rRNA from 1 species